rnacentral:rRNA from 1 species
UCUACGGGAGGCAGCAGUGAGGAGUAUUGGUCAAUGGGCGCAAGCCUGAACCAGCCAUGCCGCGUGCAGGAUGACGGUCCUAUGGAUUGUAAACUGCUUUUGUACGGGAAGAAACACCAAUUCGUGAAUUGGCUUGACGGUACCGUAAGAAUAAGGAUCGGCUAACUCCGUGCCAGCAGCCGCGGUAAUA